ACAUCCCUGCAUCGAGUGGUAUGGGUUGAGCCAUUAUUGAGCCAACACUAUUGAUACGGGAGCCUUAUAUCCUGUCGUGAAUGACAUGCCCACCCGAUCCGUGGGAAGUCUGAAGCGACUAUGCGGGCACCCACCUGGUAUCCCAGGUUCAAUAGAUCAGCCCAUACGGCGAUGUGGGGUUCUU
rnacentral:other from 1 species